CAUUCGCUUGAACUUUUACACUCGUAGAUUCCAGCGUUUGUUUACAAAACCGAUAUAAGUGACCUCACGCAAGUGUCAUUGUCGGGGAUAUAGUACCUUGUAUUUAACGCGAUACCUUGUCAAAACAACGUGAAUUCGUAUCUUUUUUCGCUUUUUCGGAAGUGAUCCUGUGCUUUGUUCUGAUUGGUUGGCGGAAAGAAUACGCAAACAUUCGCGCAAACUUUUCUUCAUUGUGAAGGUGUAGGGAUCCGAUGUGAUACUGAAAAGUACCUUUCAAUUAUUUUAAUUUGGAUCAUCUCCGCAGCGGCGGUGUACAUAAUAUGGGAUAGAAACUUCAAUUACACGAUUGCCGAUGGAGAGUGUAAUCGCUGCGGUCAUGCUGAACAUCGGCAAUCAGCUUGCCGGCAUCGUUUCAAAGUUUGCACUAUCUGUCUCCAGCAAGGCCACAUCAAAUCGGUUUGUCCCCAGGUGAUACCGGACGAGCGAAGCCCUUACGCCGGUGUCUGGCAAAUAUUAUUUCUUCUGUUUUACGUAGAUUACUUCACGAACGGCAAGCGUUCAUCCAGAUGUACGGCAUGUGGUAGCAGGGACCACACGUCGUGCAGAUACUCGAACCGGAGAUGUGUCCGAUGCAACGUAAAAGGACACAUAGCCGCCGUAUGUCCGGGUUUCCGACUGUACCGGAAAAUCGCGCCAACAGUGAAGAUCCUAUUGAUACUCCGUGCCAUUUGGGCAUUGAUACACAUUUUUUGAACUCCAUUUCCUCGGUGAGGAUUUAAUUUAAAUACAAUAAAAUUCUAUUACAAAAAUAAA